CUACGGGAGGCUGCAGUGGGGAAUAUUGGACAAUGGGGGAAACCCUGAUCCAGCAAUGCCGCGUGUGUGAAGAAGGCCUGCGGGUUGUAAAGCACUUUCGGUUGGGAGGACUGCUUCUAGCACUAAUAUUGUUGGAAGUUGACGUUACCUUCAGAAGAAGCACCGGCUAACUCCGUGCCAGCAGCCGCGGUAAUACGGGGGGUGCAAGCGUUAAUCGGAAUUACUGGGCGUAAAGCGCGCGUAGGCGGCUAGAUCAGUCGGGUGUGAAAGCCCCGGGCGUAACCUGGGAACUGCAUCCGAUACUGUCUAGCUUGAGUACAGGAGAGGAGAGUGGAAUUCCACAUGUAGCGGUGAAAUGCGUAGAUAUGUGGAGGAACACCAAUGGCGAAGGCAGCUCUCUGGCCUGAUACUGACGCUGAGGUGCGAAAGCGUGGGGAGCAAACAGGAUUAGAUACCUGCGUAGUC
rnacentral:rRNA from 1 species